GACGACGGAUCCUAGCGUUGUUCGGAAUCAUUGGGCGUAAAGCGGGUGUAGGUGGACUUAUAAGUCAGGUGUGAAAUCCCAGGGCUCAACCCUGGAAGUGCACUUGAUACUGCAAGUCUUGAGUGUGGUAGAGGCUAUUAGAAUUCUUGGUGUAGUGGUGAAAUACGUAGAUAUCAAGAGGAAUAUCGGAGGCGAAGGCGGAUAGCUGGGCCAACACUGACACUGAGACCCGAAAGCGUGGGGAUCAAACAGG
rnacentral:rRNA from 1 species